GCCGGGUAUGGUGGCCCAUGCCUGUAGUCCCAGCUACUUGGGAGGUUGAGGCGGGAGGAUUGCUUGAGCCCAGGAGUUCAGAGCUGCAGUGAGCAAUGAUCCUGCCACUGCACUUCAGCCUGGGCAAUGGCAAGACCCCAUCUCUU
ensembl:misc_RNA Metazoa_SRP Metazoan signal recognition particle RNA